rnacentral:tRNA from 1 species
ACUCCUGUAGCUCAAUGGUAGAGCAUUUGCCUUACAAGCAAGUGGUUGUGAGUUCAAAUCUCGCCAGGAGUA